CCUACGGGAGGCAGCAGUAGGGAAUCUUCCACAAUGGGCGAAAGCCUGAUGGAGCAACGCCGCGUGGGUGAAGAAGGUCUUCGGAUCGUAAAACCCUGUUGUUAGAGAAGAAAGUGCGUGAGAGUAACUGUUCACGUUUCGACGGUAUCUAACCAGACAGCUACGGCUAACUACGUGCCAGCAGCCGCGGUAAUACGUAGGUGGCAAGCGUUAUCCGGAUUUAUUGGGCGUAAAGGGAACGCAGGCGGUCUUUUAAGUCUGAUGUGAAAGCCUUCGGCUUAACCGGAGGAGUGCAUUGGAAACUGGGAGGCUUGAGUGCAGAAGAGGAGGGUGGAACUCGAGGUGUAGCGGUGAAAUGCGUAGAUAUAUGGAAGAACACCAGUGGCGAAAGCGGCUCUCUGGGCUGUAACUGACGCUGAGGUUCGAAAGCGUGGGUAGCAAACAGGAUUAGAUACCCCAGUAGUC
rnacentral:rRNA from 1 species